rnacentral:rRNA from 1 species
AGAGUUUGAUCCUGGCUCAGAACGAACGCUGGCGGCAUGCCUAACACAUGCAAGUCGAACGAUGGCUUCGGCCAUAGUGGCGCACGGGUGCGUAACGCGUGGGAACCUGCCCUUAGGUUCGGAAUAACUCAGAGAAAUUUGAGCUAAUACCGGAUAAUGUCUUCGGACCAAAGAUUUAUCGCCUUUGGAUGGGCCCGCGUAGGAUUAGGUAGUUGGUGGGGUAAUGGCCUACCAAGCCGACGAUCCUUAGCUGGUCUGAGAGGAUGAUCAGCCACACUGGGACUGAGACACGGCCCAGACUCCUACGGGAGGCAGCAGUGGGGAAUAUUGAACAAUGGGGGAAACCCUGAUCCAGCAAUGCCGCGUGAGUGAUGAAGGCCUUAGGGUUGUAAAGCUCUUUUACCCGGGA